UACGAAGGGGGCUAGCGUUGCUCGGAAUUACUGGGCGUAAAGGGCGCGUAGGCGGACAGUUCAGUCAGGGGUGAAAGCCCGGGGCUCAACCUCGGAAUUGCCUUUGAUACUGGCUGUCUUGAGUACGGGAGAGGUGUGUGGAACUCCGAGUGUAGAGGUGAAAUUCGUAGAUAUUCGGAAGAACACCAGUGGCGAAGGCGACACACUGGCCCGUUACUGACGCUGAGGUGCGAAAGCGUGGGGAGCAAACAGG
rnacentral:rRNA from 1 species